CUCCAGUUGAUCGCAUGGUCUUCUGGGAAAGCUUUCGCGGUAUGGGAUGGGGUCGCGUCCUAUCAGCUUGACGGCGGGGUAACGGCCCACCGUGGCUUCGACGGGUAGCCGGCCUGAGAGGGCGACCGGCCACAUUGGGACUGAGAUACGGCCCAGACUCCUACGGGAGGCAGCAGUGGGGAAUAUUGCACAAUGGGCGCAAGCCUGAUGCAGCGACGCCGCGUGAGGGAUGGAGGCCUUCGGGUUGUAAACCUCUUUUAUCGGGGAGCAAGCGAGAGUGAGUUUACCCGUUGAAUAAGCACCGGCUAACUACGUGCCAGCAGCCGCGGUAAUACGUAGGGUGCAAGCGUUAUCCGGAAUUAUUGGGCGUAAAGGGCUCGUAGGCGGUUCGUCGCGUCCGGUGUGAAAGUCCAUCGCUUAAC
rnacentral:rRNA from 1 species